ensembl:snRNA U7 U7 small nuclear RNA
UAGUGUUACAGCUCUUUUAGAAUUUGUCUAGCAGAUUUUCUGUUUUUUUACCAUGAAGGAAAUGUCAGU